CCUACGGGUGGCUGCAGUGGGGAAUAUUGGACAAUGGGGGGAACCCUGAUCCAGCCAUGCCGCGUGUGUGAAGAAGGCCCUCGGGUUGUAAAGCACUUUCAGUGAGGAAGAACGCCUGGUGGUUAAUACCCAUCAGGAAAGACAUCACUCACAGAAGAAGCACCGGCUAACUCCGUGCCAGCAGCCGCGGUAAUACGGAGGGUGCGAGCGUUAAUCGGAAUUACUGGGCGUAAAGCGCGCGUAGGUGGCUUGAUAAGCCGGUUGUGAAAGCCCCGGGCUCAACCUGGGAACGGCAUCCGGAACUGUCAAGCUAGAGUGCAGGAGAGGAAGGUAGAAUUCCCGGUGUAGCGGUGAAAUGCGUAGAGAUCGGGAGGAAUACCAGUGGCGAAGGCGGCCUUCUGGACUGACACUGACACUGAGGUGCGAAAGCGUGGGUAGCAAACAGGAUUAGAUACCCGGGUAGUC
rnacentral:rRNA from 1 species